CAAUAGCGUAUAUUAAAGCUGUUGCGGUUAAAAAGCUCGUAGUUGGAUUUCUGUCAAGGACAACUGGUCCGCCCUCCGGGUGAGCACAUAGUUUGGUCUUGGCAUCUUGCUGGAAACUGUUGCUGCACUUGGCUGUGUGGCGCAGCGUCCAGCACUUUCACUUUGAGGAAAUUGGAGUGUUUCAAGCAGGCACAUGCCUUUGGACACAGUAGCAUGGAAUAAUUAGAUCGGGCUUUUGCUCCAAUUUGUCGGUUUCUGGAGCUGAGGUGAGAAUUAAUGGGGAUUGUUGGGGGCAUCCGAAUUUAGCCGUCAGAGGUGAAAUUCUUGGAUCUGCUAAAGACGGACAACUGCGAAAGCGUUUGCCCAGGAUGUUUUCAUUGA
rnacentral:rRNA from 1 species